CCUACGGGAGGCAGCAGUGGGGAAUAUUGCACAAUGGGGGAAACCCUGAUGCAGCAACGCCGCGUGAGUGAUGACGGCCUUCGGGUUGUAAAGCUCUGUCUUCAGGGACGAUAAUGACGGUACCUGAGGAGGAAGCCACGGCUAACUACGUGCCAGCAGCCGCGGUAAUACGUAGGUGGCGAGCGUUGUCCGGAAUGACUGGGCGUAAAGGGUGCGUAGGCGGCAUAAUAAGUUAGAAGUGAAAUACCCAGAGCUUAACUCGGGUGCUGCUUCUAAGACUGUUGAGCUUGAGUGCGGGAGAGGUUAAUGGAAUUCCUAGUGUAGCGGUGGAAUGCGUAGAUAUUAGGAGGAACACCAGAGGCGAAGGCGAUUAACUGGACCGUAACUGACGCUGAGGCACGAAAGUGUGGGUAGCAAACAGGAUUAGAUACCCGAGUAGUC
rnacentral:rRNA from 1 species